rnacentral:rRNA from 1 species
GAUGAACGCUGGCGGCGUGCCUAAUACAUGCAAGUCGAGCGGAAAGGCCUCUUCGGAGGUACUCGAGCGGCGGACGGCAGAGUAACGCGUAGGAACAUACCCCAAACUGAGGGAUAACUGCCCGAAAGGGUGGCUAAUACCGCAUGUGAUCUUCGGAUUAAAGCUUCGGCGGUUUGGGAAUGGCCUGCGUUCGAUUAGCUAGUUGGUGAGGUAAAGGCUCACCAAGGCGACGAUCGAUAACUGGUCUGAGAGGAUGAUCAGUCUGACUGGAACUGAGACACGGUCCAGGCUCCUACGGGAGGCAGCAGUAGGGAAUUUUCCACAAUGGGCGAAAGCCUGAUGGAGCAACGCCGCGUGCAGGAUGAAGGCCCUUGGGUCGUAAACUGCUUUUAUGUGAGAAGAAUAUGACGGUAACACAUGAAUAAGGGUCGGCUAACUACGUGCCAGCAGCCGCGGUAAU